rnacentral:misc_RNA from 1 species
GAUGAAGAACGCAGCGAAAUGCGAUAAGUAAUGUGAAUUGCAGAAUUCAGUGAAUCAUCGAAUCUUUGAACGCACAUUGCGCCCGCCAGUAUUCUGGCGGGCAUGCCUGUCUGAGCGUCAUUUCAACCCUCAUGCCCCUAGGGCGUGGUGUUGGGGAUCGGCCAAAGCCCGCGAGGGACGGCCGGCCCCUAAAUCUAGUGGCGGACCCGUCGUGGCCUCCUCUGCGAAGUAGUGAUAUUCCGCAUCGGAGAGCGAUGAGCCCCUGCCGGUAAACCCCCAACUUUCCAAGGUUGACCUCAGAGCAGGUAGGAAUACCCGCUGAACUUAAGCAUAUCAAUAAGCGGAGGA